rnacentral:rRNA from 1 species
GGUUAAGCGACUAAGCGUACACGGUGGAUGCCCUGGCAGUCAGAGGCGAUGAAGGACGUGCUAAUCUGCGAUAAGCGUCGGUGAGGUGAUAUGAACCGUUAUAACCGGCGAUUUCCGAAUGGGGAAACCCAGUGUGUUUCGACACACUAUCAUUAACUGAAUCCAUAGGUUAAUGAGGCGAACCGGGGGAACUGAAACAUCUAAGUACCCCGAGGAAAAGAAAUCAACCGAGAUUCCCCCAGUAGCGGCGAGCGAACGGGGAGGAGCCCAGAGCCUGAAUCAGUGUGUGUGUUAGUGGAAGCGUCUGGAAAGGCGUGCGAUACAGGGUGACAGCCCCGUACACAAAAAUGCACAUAUUGUGAGCUCGAUGAGUAGGGCGGGACACGUGGUAUCCUGUCUGAAUAUGGGGGGACCAUCCUCCAAGGCUAAAUACUCCUGACUGACCGAUAGUGAACCAGUACCGUGAGGGAAAGGCGAAAAGAACCCCGGCGAGGGGAGUGAAAAAGAACCUGAAACCGUGUACGUACAAGCAGUGGGAGCCUCUUAAUGGGGUGACUGCGUACCUUUUGUAUAAUGGGUCAGCGACUUAUAUUCUGUAGCAAGGUUAACCGAAUAGGGGAGCCGAAGGGAAACCGAGUCUUAACUGGGCGUUAAGUUGCAGGGUAUAGACCCGAAACCCGGUGAUCUAGCCAUGGGCAGGUUGAAGGUUGGGUAACACUAACUGGAGGACCGAACCGACUAAUGUUGAAAAAUUAGCGGAUGACUUGUGGCUGGGGGUGAAAGGCCAAUCAAACCGGGAGAUAGCUGGUUCUCCCCGAAAGCUAUUUAGGUAGCGCCUCGUGAAUUCAUCUCCGGGGGUAGAGCACUGUUUCGGCAAGGGGGUCAUCCCGACUUACCAACCCGAUGCAAACUGCGAAUACCGGAGAAUGUUAUCACGGGAGACACACGGCGGGUGCUAACGUCCGUCGUGAAGAGGGAAACAACCCAGACCGCCAGCUAAGGUCCCAAAGUCAUGGUUAAGUGGGAAACGAUGUGGGAAGGCCCAGACAGCCAGGAUGUUGGCUUAGAAGCAGCCAUCAUUUAAAGAAAGCGUAAUAGCUCACUGGUCGAGUCGGCCUGCGCGGAAGAUGUAACGGGGCUAAACCAUGCACCGAAGCUGCGGCAGCGACACUAUGUGUUGUUGGGUAGGGGAGCGUUCUGUAAGCCUGUGAAGGUGGCCUGUGAGGGUUGCUGGAGGUAUCAGAAGUGCGAAUGCUGACAUAAGUAACGAUAAAGCGGGUGAAAAGCCCGCUCGCCGGAAGACCAAGGGUUCCUGUCCAACGUUAAUCGGGGCAGGGUGAGUCGACCCCUAAGGCGAGGCCGAAAGGCGUAGUCGAUGGGAAACAGGUUAAUAUUCCUGUACUUGGUGUUACUGCGAAGGGGGGACGGAGAAGGCUAUGUUGGCCGGGCGACGGUUGUCCCGGUUUAAGCGUGUAGGCUGGUUUUCCAGGCAAAUCCGGAAAACCAAGGCUGAGGCGUGAUGACGAGGCACUACGGUGCUGAAGUGACAAAUGCCCUGCUUCCAGGAAAAGCCUCUAAGCAUCAGGUAACAUCAAAUCGUACCCCAAACCGACACAGGUGGUCAGGUAGAGAAUACCAAGGCGCUUGAGAGAACUCGGGUGAAGGAACUAGGCAAAAUGGUGCCGUAACUUCGGGAGAAGGCACGCUGAUAUGUAGGUGAAGCGACUUGCUCGUGGAGCUGAAAUCAGUCGAAGAUACCAGCUGGCUGCAACUGUUUAUUAAAAACACAGCACUGUGCAAACACGAAAGUGGACGUAUACGGUGUGACGCCUGCCCGGUGCCGGAAGGUUAAUUGAUGGGGUUAGCGGUAACGCGAAGCUCUUGAUCGAAGCCCCGGUAAACGGCGGCCGUAACUAUAACGGUCCUAAGGUAGCGAAAUUCCUUGUCGGGUAAGUUCCGACCUGCACGAAUGGCGUAAUGAUGGCCAGGCUGUCUCCACCCGAGACUCAGUGAAAUUGAACUCGCUGUGAAGAUGCAGUGUACCCGCGGCAAGACGGAAAGACCCCGUGAACCUUUACUAUAGCUUGACACUGAACAUUGAGCCUUGAUGUGUAGGAUAGGUGGGAGGCUUUGAAGUGUGGACGCCAGUCUGCAUGGAGCCGACCUUGAAAUACCACCCUUUAAUGUUUGAUGUUCUAACGUUGGCCCGUAAUCCGGGUUGCGGACAGUGUCUGGUGGGUAGUUUGACUGGGGCGGUCUCCUCCUAAAGAGUAACGGAGGAGCACGAAGGUUGGCUAAUCCUGGUCGGACAUCAGGAGGUUAGUGCAAUGGCAUAAGCCAGCUUGACUGCGAGCGUGACGGCGCGAGCAGGUGCGAAAGCAGGUCAUAGUGAUCCGGUGGUUCUGAAUGGAAGGGCCAUCGCUCAACGGAUAAAAGGUACUCCGGGGAUAACAGGCUGAUACCGCCCAAGAGUUCA